GAAAUACCGUUCGCUGUAAGAUCGCCGAUGUUAAGCAAUGUCGAGCCUGGUCAGUACCUAGAUGGGUGACCACUUGGAAAUACCAGGUACUGUAA